rnacentral:lncRNA from 1 species
CCCCUCUCUGCCCUCCCAGGCGCCUGCUUGCGUCACCUACCAAGCUCCACAAGCUUCAGCUAAGGAGUCCCCCAGGCCCCCCAUGUGGGAGGGUGAAAACGACAUCUGUGAAGCAAAUGACCGAAGUAUCUCUCUGAGCAAGGAGGCUGUGCACCGAGAUCGCGGGUCAACCAAGGAUGGUCACCGCUCUCCACGUGGAAGCUCUGACCCACCCACCACGGGGCCAGAAUCAAAGAGAUGAGGAGGAAAUGCUGCUGGCUUAGAAUCUCGGAUGUGGAAGCAAAACUACAACAAAAGGCAAGCACAUCAGGGGGAAAAAUGCAGAGGAAGAAAGAUGCCAAAGACAAUGUUUUCUUUUGGAAUAUGUCAUCCUUGGCCCUGAUAAUGUGCACGACUGAAGAAGAUGUGAAGCAG